CUUUUCGGGUUUUCAACUCAAAUCCACCAUUGGUCAAAGUGCCAUUUGCGGGUUUUCCCCUUGGUCUCUCAUUUUCUUUUUUCUUUUUGUCAUUUUGAUUUUGAUUUUUUCUUUUUUCUUUCUUUUUAUUUUGAUUUUUUUAUUUUGAUUUUUUAUUAAAUUUUUUAUUUCGAUUUUUCUUUUCUUUUUUGAUUUUGAUUGUGAUUUUUUUUGAUUUAAUCUGAACUCAUAGGAUUAGGCAAGUCCUUGUUAUCCCCUUUUGAUCAGAACCAAUGUUUUCUCAAUAGAGUCUCCCACAUAAGAUCUUCCACU
rnacentral:lncRNA from 1 species